AUUGAACGCUCGCUGCAGGCCUAACACAUGCAAUUCGAACGAGUGGCGGACGGGUGAGUAAUGUCUGGGAAACUGCCUGAGGGAGGGGGAUAACUACUGGAAACGGUAGCUAAUACCGCCUACCAUCGGAUGUGCCCAUAUGGGAUUAGCUAGUAGGUGGGGUAAAGGCUCACCUAGGCGACGAUCCAUAGCUGGUCUGCGAGGAUGACCAGCCCCACUGGAACUGAGACACGGUCCAGACUCCUACGGGAGGCAGCAGUGGGGAAUAUUUCACAAUGGGCGCACGCCUGAUGCAGCCAUGCCGCGUGUAUGAAUAAGGCCUUCGGGUUGUAAAGUACUUUCAGCGGGGAGGCGUUACCCGCAGAAGAAGCACCGGCUAACUCCGUGCCAGCAGCCGCGGUAAUAC
rnacentral:rRNA from 1 species